rnacentral:lncRNA from 1 species
AUAUCUCAAAUACAUCUCAAUUGAAUCUUAAUUUAAUCCUAAUUGAAAUUUAACUUCAUUCAAACUUUAGGCCAAAAACUUGUUAAAUCUUAAAUCCUAAAUAAUCUCAAAUAAAAUCCUAAACCCGAAAUCAAAUCCUGAGAAAAUCCUAAUCAAAUCUUAAAUCCUAAACCAAAUUUUAAAUCCUAAAUCAAAUCUUAAAUCCUAAAUCAAACCUUAACCAAUCCCUAAAUCCUAAACCAAACUCUAAUCCUAAAUCAAAUCCGAACCAAAUUCUAAAUCUUAAACCAAAUUCUAAUCCUAAAUCAAAUCCUAACCAAAUUCUAAACCCUAAACCAAAUCCUAAUCUUAAAUAAAAUCCUAAC